rnacentral:rRNA from 1 species
AUGCUGGAAGGGUGGCUGUCGAGCAUCACAGGGAACAAAGACAACCCCCGAGGAGCCAGGAGGGUUCCCCCGCUUGACAGUACAUACGACGUGGACCAGGCAACUACAGAGAUGUACUCGACACCCAACGGAGCACAGGGGCAGGCUGAGGAAGGGGAGGCAAGCGGAGGCGAAAGCGCAGACGAACAAGGGGAGUGGGAGUCUGACGGCGAAGGAGAGGGAGAUGACGACGUCGACUCCAGCGAAGAGGAGGAGGAGGAGGAGGAAGCUGAACCUCCCCGCUCGGAAAGGCGAUCCAAGCUUACACACGACCCUGCGCGGGAACGUGGUAAGGCGACUGCUCCCGUUGGGCAGUCGUCGAAGCGCCCUCGGACCUCUUCUCCAGCGCUGACUGAAAAAGCUCCCAAGCACCCCCGCGCGGCGCCGUCCAAGCCACCCAAGGCUCUGCCCAAGAUGAGGAUGACUGUCCCCACCAUUUUUGGUGCUGCUACUUCUGAGAUCUCCGCCAAGGACGAUGAUCAAGAGAUGGAAGAUGCUGUUACUUCCAACCCUGCUCCUCCUCAUGUUAUUAACCUUCCUGACGACGAAGACGAAGCGCCGCUGAGAGUGAGGCGGAAUAGGAAAGCGUCGGUUGGCAAGACUCCACAAUCCACUCCGGCGCCUGAGGCCGUAGCUCGAGACGGGGCGAUACCACCCGGGCUUCUGUGA